GACGAACGCUGGCGGCGUGCUUAACACAUGCAAGUCGAACGGAAAGGCCCUGCUUGCCGGGUACUCGAGUGACGAACGGGUGAGUAACACGUGGGUGAUCUGCCCUGCACUUCGGGAUAAGCCUGGGAAACUGGGUCUAAUACCGGAUAGGAGCCAUUUUUAGUGUGAUGGUUGGAAAGUUUUUUCGGUGUAGGAUGAGCUCGCGGCCUAUCAGCUUGUUGGUGGGGUAAUGGCCUACCAAGGCGGCGACGGGUAGCCGGCCUGAGAGGGUGGACGGCCACAUUGGGACUGAGAUACGGCCCAGACUCCUACGGGAGGCAGCAGUGGGGAAUAUUGCACAAUGGGCGCAAGCCUGAUGCAGCGACGCCGCGUGGGGGAUGACGGCCUUCGGGUUGUAAACUCCUUUCGCUAGGGACGAAGCUUUUUGUGACGGUACCUAGAUAAGAAGCACCGGCUAACUACGUG
rnacentral:rRNA from 1 species